rnacentral:rRNA from 1 species
UUCCGGUUGAUCCCGCCGGACCUGACUGCUAUCGGAUUGGUACUAAGCCAUGCGAGUCGUUGUAGCAAUACAAGGCGGACGGCUCAGUAACACGUAGUCAACCUAACCUAUGGACGUGGAUAACCUCGGGAAACUGAGAAUAAACCGCGAUAGAUCAUUAUGCCUGGAAUGGCUUAUGGUCCAAACAAUUUAUUGCCGUAGGAUGGGACUGCGGCCUAUCAGCUUGUUGGUGAGGUAAUGGCCCACCAAGGCUAUAACAGGUACGGGCUCUGAGAGGAGAAGCCCGGAGAUGGGUACUGAGACACGGACCCAGGCCCUAUGGGGCGCAGCAGGCGAGAAACCUUAGCAAUGUGCGAAAGCACGACUAGGUUAAUCCGAGUGAUUUCUGUUGAAGAAAUCUUUUGUCAGUCGUAAAACCACAGACGAAUAAGGGGUGGGCAAGUCUGGUGUCAGCCGCCGCGGUAAUACCAGCACCUCGAGUGGUCAGGAGGUUUAUUGGGCCUAAAGCAUCCGUAGCCGGCUACGCAAGUCUCCGGUUAAAUCCAACUGCUCAUCAGAUGGGCUGCCGGAGAUACUACAUAGCUAGGGAGCGGGAGAGGUAGACGGUAUUCUGUGGGUAGGGGUAAAAUCCACUGAUCCAUAGAGGACCACCAGUGGCGAAGGCGGUCUACCAGAACGCGUUCGACGGUGAAGGAUGAAAGCUGGGGGAGCGAACCGGAUUAGAUACCCGGGUAGUCCCAGCUGUAAACGAUGCAAACUCGGUGAUGCAUUGGCUUAUGGCCAAUGCAGUGCCGCAGGGAAGCCGUUAAGUUUGCCGCCUGGGAAGUACGGACGCAAGUCUGAAACUUAAAGGAAUUGGCGGGGGAGCACCACAAGGGGUGAAGCCUGCGGUUCAAUUGGAUUCAACGCCGGG